rnacentral:rRNA from 1 species
GUAGGUGGCAAGCGUUGUCCGGAAUUAUUGGGCGUAAAGCGCGCGCAGGUGGUUUAAUAAGUCUGAUGUGAAAGCCCACGGCUCAACCGUGGAGGGUCAUUGGAAACUGUUAAACUUGAGUGCAGGAGAGAAAAGUGGAAUUCCUAGUGUAGCGGUGAAAUGCGUAGAGAUUAGGAGGAACACCAGUGGCGAAGGCGGCUUUUUGGCCUGUAACUGACACUGAGGCGCGAAAGCGUGGGGAGCAAACAGGAUUAGAUACCCUGGUAGUCCACGCCGUAAACGAUGAGUGCUAAGUGUUGGUCUCAUAAGAGAUCAGUGCUGCAGCUAACGCAUUAAGCACUCCGCCUGGGGAGUACGACCGCCAAGGUUG